rnacentral:rRNA from 1 species
GAUGAACGCUAGCUACAGGCUUAACACAUGCAAGUCGAGGGGAAACGCCAUUGAAGCUUGCUUCGAUGGUCGUCGACCGGCGCACGGGUGAGUAACGCGUAUCCAACCUGCCUCUGACCAAGGGAUAACCCGUCGAAAGUCGGCCUAAUACCUUAUGCAGUCGUCGGAAGUCAUCUGAUGACGACGAAAGAUUUCAUCGGUGAGAGAUGGGGAUGCGUCUGAUUAGCUUGUUGGCGGGGUAACGGCCCACCAAGGCAACGAUCAGUAGGGGUUCUGAGAGGAAGGUCCCCCACAUUGGAACUGAGACACGGUCCAAACUCCUACGGGAGGCAGCAGUGAGGAAUAUUGGUCAAUGGGCGAGAGCCUGAACCAGCCAAGUAGCGUGCAGGAGGACGGCCCUAUGGGUUGUAAACUGCUUUUAUGCGGGGAUAAAGUGAGGGACGUGUCCUUCAUUGCAGGUACCGCAUGAAUAAGGACCGGCUAAUUCCGUG